GAAUUCUCAUGCAAAAGGAAAAUGAGAAACUUCUCAACAAAAGGUUAAGAAUAAAGCUGGAAAGGAUGAUUAACUCAUGCGAAAGGUAAUGAGAAACUUCUCAACAAAAGGUUAAGAAGAGAGAUGGAUGGGAUUUCUCAUACGAAAGGUGUGAGAAACUUCUUAACAAAAGGCUAAGAAGAAAACCUGAGGGGAUUAUCA
rnacentral:lncRNA from 1 species